rnacentral:rRNA from 1 species
AGAAACGGCUACCACAUCCAAGGAAGGCAGCAGGCGCGCAAAUUACCCACUCCCGACCCGGGGAGGUAGUGACGAAAAAUAACAAUACAGGACUCUUUCGAGGCCCUGUAAUUGGAAUGAGUCCACUUUAAAUCCUUCCGCGAGGAUCCAUUGGAGGGCAAGUCUGGUG